rnacentral:rRNA from 1 species
CGGCGAGUGAAGCGGCAAGAGCUCAAAUUUGAAAUCUGGCCUCUUUGGGGUCCGAGUUGUAAUUUGGAGAGGAUGCUUCGGGUCCAGCCCCCAUCUAAGUGCCCUGGAACGGGCUGUCAUAGAGGGUGAGAAUCCCGUCUGGGAUGGGUGGUUGUGCCCAUGUGAAGCUCCUUCGACGAGUCGAGUUGUUUGGGAAUGCAGCUCUAAAUGGGUGGUAAAUUUCAUCUAAAGCUAAAUAUUGGCCGGAGACCGAUAGCGCACAAGUAGAGUGAUCGAAAGAUGAAAAGCACUUUGAAAAGAGAGUGAAACAGCACGUGAAAUUGUUGAAAGGGAAGCGCUUGCAACCAGACUCGCCUGGGGAGGCUCCACCGGUACCUGUACCGGUUCAUUCCUCCCCUGGCGGGCCAGCGUCGGUUUGGGCGGUUGGUUAAAGGCUCCCGGAAUGUAUCGCCCUCCGGGGCGUCUUAUAGCCGGGAGUGCCAUGCAACCAGCCCAGACCGAGGAACGCGCUUCGGCUCGGACGCUGGCAUAAUGGUUGUAAGCGGCCCGUCUUGAAACACGGACCAAGGAGUCUAACAUCUAUGCGAGUGUUCGGGUGUUAAACCCGUCCGCGCAGUGAAAGCGAACGGAGGUGGGAACCCUUUUGGGUGCACCAUCGACCGAUCCUGAUGUCUUCGGAUGGAUUUGAGUAAGAGCAUAGCUGUUGGGACCCGAAAGAUGGUGAACUAUGCCUGAAUAGGGCGAAGCCAGAGGAAACUCUGGUGGAGGCUCGCAGCGGUUCUGACGUGCAAAUCGAUCGUCAAAUUUGGGUAUAGGGGCGAAAGACUAAUCGAACCAUCUGGUA